AUGGGCAUAGCUCAAUGGCAGAGCGCCGGUCUCCAAAACCGUAGACCUAGGUUCGAUUCCUAGUGCCUGUGCCA
rnacentral:tRNA from 2 species